rnacentral:tRNA from 1 species
AGCGGGGUGGAGCAGUCCGGUAGCUCGUCAGGCUCAUAACCUGAAGGUCGUGGGUUCGAAUCCCACCUCCGCAA